UACGUAGGGGGCUAGCGUUGUCCGGAAUCAUUGGGCGUAAAGAGCGUGUAGGCGGUCCGGUAAGUCCGCUGUGAAAGUCGGGGGCUCAACCCUCGGAUGCCGGUGGAUACUGUCGGACUAGAGUACGGAAGAGGCGAGUGGAAUUCCUGGUGUAGCGGUGAAAUGCGCAGAUAUCAGGAGGAACACCAAUUGCGAAGGCAGCUCGCUGGAACGUAACUGACGCUGAGACGCGAAAGCGUGGGGAGCAAACAGG
rnacentral:rRNA from 1 species